GCCGUUGAAAAACACUCCCGUAGACUUCCAUGGUAACUGAGGAAAGCGGAAGUAACGCGUGUCGUGGAGCAACUAUAAAGUACUAAACUAAAGUAAAGUUGGCCGCAUAUUCACAGAUUCGAAUUUCCCUGGAUCAAUAACUCGUGAGCUAAACGCGGUUGGUACACAAAUAAUCUCUUUUCAAUCGUAGUAAUGUAGAGAAGCAGCUACAACCUAAUUUUCCUUAAAACCAGCUUUCCCCCGCAGUGGACAAAAAAAAAGGCAGAUUGGAAGGGACCGUUUGCAAAGUGCAAAACCCGAAAAGCAGUACAUCUCCGUGUACUACAUCUACAACACUUAGUGUGGAAAUAUAUGCUUUCCCUACAGUAGUUCAUGCUGUAUGAUUAUGAUAAAAAUUAUGCAAAAAGAGUGUUGUAGUAUAACCAUCAGGACAUCAGUGAUGUGUGAAGUGAAUUUGGUGACAGUACAGUGUAUUACAGUGAAGUUAUUAAAUUUUUCAUAAUAGUCAAGUCAUUGAAUAUUUUUCACUAUAGAAAAUCAUAAAAAUUAUGCAAAAAUACAUUUUCCCAAAAUAAGUGUUGUAGUAUAACUAUCAGAACAGCAGUGAUGUGUGAACUGAGUUUGGUGACACUACAGUGUGUAACAUUGAAGUUAUUGACUGUUUUUGUAGUAUUGCUUUUCGGGUUUUGCACUUUGCAGACGGUCCCUUCGAAUCUUUCUCUCAGCCUUCUUCGCAUAGACAUCAAUGUAUUUUGUCCACUGCGGAGGAAAGCUGGUUUUGAGAAAAAUUAGGUUGUAGCUGCUUGUCUACGAUUGAAAAGAGGUGUUAUUUGUGUACCAACAGCGUUUAGCUUACGAGUCUAUGAAUCUAUCUAUGAAAAUCUAUGAAUAUGCGGCCAACUUUACUUAAGUUAGUUACUAACACUGCAUUGAACACCAUUCAUUUCAGUGUUUCUUAAAGGGGUGGUUCAGUGUUUUUUUUCUAGGCUUGACUGUGUUUAUGGGGCGCAGUUUAACAUGUCCUAAUGCUUAGUUUAAAAAGAAAAAACGCUGUAUUUUUCAUAUAUAUUUACAUUUAUUCUACACCGCUGUUUCCAUUGUCAUUUGAAAGGCUGGUUUGAUCUAUGAUACCCCUCCCUCCGAAAUAUGCAAUGGGCUCAGAUCGGUUAGCUGGCCCAGUGUAUUGUGAUUCGCUGAAGCGUCCGGGAACGCCACGCCCCUUACCAUUAGUUUUUACAUGUGCUUCGGUGGAAAUGUAAAUAAUGUAGUCUAUAUUGCCGUAUGAAAUUGACCUGAAUCAGACCCAGAUAGCAGUAAGGAAGAAGAGGGUCAAGCAGAACCUCUGCAAGCACGGUUUUUAAAGGACGUUUAUGAAUGAAACACAUAACAAUCCAAGAAGGAAGAUCCUUUCCUGGACUAAAGAGAUGCACCACAUGCUGCAAGGAGUUCCUCUGCCCGUUCUGCAGUUCUGCUUUGUUUCACCCAACAAAGUGGAGCAAAGUGAAAUCCCAUUUGGAGAGCCAUUUCAAACGCACAGUUCUCUAUGAAGACCAUCAUUUAUGGCCUGGCUGGGCUGCAGAAUUUCUCUGUGGGAUGCUGAGAAGGCCUUCUUCUCUGGUCCGGAUUAUCAUCACAUGUAAGAGUAGAAAAUGUAAUUUUUUUACACUGUGUCCAAUGUAUCAUUUUUUAAGCAUUAACAGUAUUUCUGUUAACCCAGCAGUGGUUAUGUUCUCCAUUAACUAUUUUAGUGAAGUGGAAGAAAAGAGAAAAGAGGGGAGAGCAUCCAUUGGUAGGUAGUGCUGCUGCAUACUUCACAAUCUGUGCUUUAAAUAUUUAAAGGUCAGGAAAAGUCAUGUCAAUAACAUGUUAUUUCUAUUCAGAUCUCUUGCAUCUCUCUCUAUUUAUUUAUUUUUUCUCAGUUCAGAUGGGCUUUGUUGACAUGAAAGUUUUAUUUUCUUGAGAACCUUUGUUCCCACGGCAUCAAAAUAAAAUGUUUCCAAAUCUUUGAACAGUAUGCAAUAACAGUAAUAUGAACAUUAAUUGGUAUGAAGAUUGACAUAAUUAUUUUUGUAUCAUAUAUAAUGUGUGUGCUCUGUGGUCACUAAGAUCUUUUAAAUAUUGAACAUGUUUAACUAAAUGUUCCUUAUUUCAUUCACUUCUCUCUCUCUCUCUCUCUCUCUCU